rnacentral:rRNA from 1 species
UACAGAGGUCUCAAGCGUUGUUCGGAUUCAUUGGGCGUAAAGGGUGCGUAGGCGGUGAGGUAAGUUGGAUGUGAAAUCCCGGGGCUUAACCCCGGAACUGCAUUCAAUACUGCCUUGCUAGAGUACUGGAGAGGAGAUUGGAAUUCACGGUGUAGCAGUGAAAUGCGUAGAUAUCGUGAGGAAGACCAGUGGCGAAGGCGAAUCUCUGGACAGUAACUGACGCUGAGGCACGAAGGCCAGGGGAGCAAACGGG